rfam:Dethiosulfovibrio peptidovorans DSM 11002 ctg1, whole genome shotgun sequence.
GCGCCGGUAGCUCAGUUGGAUAGAGCAACGGCCUUCUAAGCCGUGGGUCGCGGGUUCGAAUCCUGCCCGGCGCG